CGGGCCAAAAAGCCAGGCUAUUAUGUGGACAGGCUGGUUCACUAACAGGGCAUAAUAUAUACGUAUCAACAAAAAAUAAUUUUAGAACAAUACCUUGCAACCAUUUCUUUCUCUUUCAAUGAAGCAGCACCAACAUUAUUGGAAGCUGUUGCUACGACAAUAAAAUAGUUACGAUGAGAGUUAAAGUAUUUUUCCACCAGAGGUAAAACAACCUGAAAACAAAGAGAAAGAGACAAAAAAUGAUGAGCGAGUGGAUAGUUGACUACUGAUCAAGCUUAUUGUAGCUUAUUUUACGAUGAAAUUACUGAAUUUUGUUUGCAAAAUCACCCGAGUGUGAGGGAAGUGAGUCAAGACUCAUUAAAAGAGGACAUUCCUCAACUGAGGUAAUGCACACCAAUUUAGUGAAAGAUUCUCUUUUAUUUCCCAUCAUCCAUUCAUCGCUUGCACCAUAGCAGCAUUAGAAACUUAAAAAAUGAUGGUAUUUAAUGCAUCCCUACUUACAUGAAAUUAAAAUGAAUUCAACUCAUCAUGUUAAAUUGAGGCAAUGGAUGCAAGCGGAUUACUUCUGGGUUGGGAAUUUUUAGAAUUUCUCCUGGUAAUUUAUACUUAAGAGAAAAAUCUCAUCAGUGAUUAUUUAUUGGAAUUUUUUGUUUGGAACAAAAGAAUAUUUGAUAAAAGUUUAAAGGAAAUACAUGCAAUUGCUUCCCUUGCAGUGGAUGAAAUGUUAGGAGAGAUUCUGAAACAAUGAAACCAAGAUGUUUCAUUCCUGCACCUGGCCUCUCCAUUACUGUCACAAAUAGUUACAUACCUUUGAGAAAAAUUUUAUAUCUCUGGAACAAGUUUUAAAACUGCUUCUCCUACUAAAUGUUGCAGAUGGCUUUAGAAGUUUCAUAUUAAUUGAGGCUUUAUCCAUGUAUUGUAUUAAUUUUUCAAGAAGACUAUAUGCGAAUCGCAACUCGCCAGUUUGUACGGCAGCCAGCUGUUCAGCCUCUGAUGUCGCUGUCCCUCGGUUUGGCCUACAGAAAGAAAAGAAACAGAUACAGAGAGUGGCAUUGUGGCUGCUCUUAAAUCCGGCAAAAAGGCUUCCUCAAGAAUUUUGAAGAACAAGUCUUGCUGCUCAAUACCAUAGACACGUUCCAGAAACAGCACCACACUUUGCUUGUGACCAGGAAUCAAUCCAGAUGGCAUGUCACUCUUUGGUCUUUCUUCACCAGCGGCAGGAUUUUGAAGCGUGAAUCGCAAACUUAAGACACCCAGUAGAUCUUCCAAGGGCACUAAUGAACGCAAAAUUGCUCUUGCUCGGAGAGACUCAUUCUUCCCCUGCAGAGACGUUAAUGAAAAUUUUAGUAAAUCAUCUCACUUCCUUAGGUAUUGCAUGGGAACUUUGAUUGUAUGAUUGCUGUCUGCACUAAAAGCUUAUA
rnacentral:lncRNA from 1 species